rnacentral:rRNA from 1 species
AGGGGGUGCUAUACAUGCAAGUCGAGCGAACAGAUGAGAAGCUUGCUUCUCUGAUGUUAGCGGCGGACGGGUGAGUAACACGUGGGUAACCUACCUAUAAGACUGGGAUAACUCCGGGAAACCGGGGCUAAUACCGGAUAAUAUUUUGAACCGCAUGGUUCAAUAGUGAAAGACGGUUUCGGCUGUCACUUAUAGAUGGACCCGCGCCGUAUUAGCUAGUUGGUAAGGUAACGGCUUACCAAGGCGACGAUACGUAGCCGACCUGAGAGGGUGAUCGGCCACACUGGAACUGAGACACGGUCCAGACUCCUACGGGAGGCAGCAGUAGGGAAUCUUCCGCAAUGGGCGAAAGCCUGACGGAGCAACGCCGCGUGAGUGAUGAAGGUCUUCGGAUCGUAAAACUCUGUUGUUAGGGAAGAACAAAUUUGUUAGUAACUGAACAAGUCUUGACGGUACCUAACCAGAAAGCCACGGCUAACUACGUGCCAGCAGCCGCGGUAAUACGUAGGUGGCAAGCGUUAUCCGGAAUUAUUGGGCGUAAAGCGCGCGUAGGCGGUUUCUUAAGUCUGAUGUGAAAGCCCACGGCUCAACCGUGGAGGGUCAUUGGAAACUGGGAAACUUGAGUGCAGAAGAGGAGAGUGGAAUUCCAUGUGUAGCGGUGAAAUGCGCAGAGAUAUGGAGGAACACCAGUGGCGAAGGCGGCUCUCUGGUCUGUAACUGACGCUGAUGUGCGAAAGCGUGGGGAUCAAACAGGAUUAGAUACCCUGGUAGUCCACGCCGUAAACGAUGAGUGCUAAGUGUUAGGGGGUUUCCGCCCCUUAGUGCUGCAGCUAACGCAUUAAGCACUCCGCCUGGGGAGUACGACCGCAAGGUUGAAACUCAAAGGAAUUGACGGGGACCCGCACAAGCGGUGGAGCAUGUGGUUUAAUUCGAAGCAACGCGAAGAACCUUACCAAAUCUUGACAUCCUUUGACCGCUCUAGAGAUAGAGUCUUCCCCUUCGGGGGACAAAGUGACAGGUGGUGCAUGGUUGUCGUCAGCUCGUGUCGUGAGAUGUUGGGUUAAGUCCCGCAACGAGCGCAACCCUUAAGCUUAGUUGCCAUCAUUAAGUUGGGCACUCUAGGUUGACUGCCCGGUGACAAACCGGAGGAAAGGUGGGGAUGACGUCAAAUCAUCAUGCCCCUUAUGAUUUGGGCUACACACGUGCUACAAUGGAUAAUACAAAGGGCAGCGAAUCCGCGAGGCCAAGCAAAUCCCAUAAAAUUAUUCUCAGUUCGGAUUGUAGUCUGCAACUCGACUACAUGAAGCUGGAAUCGCUAGUAAUCGUAGAUCAGCAUGCUACGGUGAAUACGUUCCCGGGUCUUGUACACACCGCCCGUCACACCACGAGAGUUUGUAACACCCGAAGCCGGUGGAGUAACCUUUUAGGAGCUAGCCGUCGAAGGUGGACAAGGGG